rnacentral:rRNA from 1 species
UACGUAGGGUGCGAGCGUUGUCCGGAAUUAUUGGGCGUAAAGAGCUCGUAGGUGGUUUGUCGCGUUGUUCGUGAAAACUCACAGCUCAACUGUGGGCGUGCGGGCGAUACGGGCAGACUAGAGUACUGCAGGGGAGAAUGGAAUUCCUGGUGUAGCGGUGAAAUGCGCAGAUAUCAGGAGGAACACCGGUGGCGAAGGCGGAUCUCUGGGCCAUUACUGACGCUGAGGAGCGAAAGCGUGGGGAGCGAACAGG